UGUCCACAGGAGGUUGUGAGGGACUCAGCCAAAGGCAUUUGCGAGAUCCAGGAACACCACGUGAAGAUCUGUUCCCUCCUUUUUUGGAGACCUGGAUCUGAUGCCAGAUGACACCAGUGUUUUCUAUACAACCAGAGAAGCCUGAGAUGCCUGCUUUCUGGAUUGACGUGUCAUUCAAGUUGUUUCUUUGCAGGUAUCCUGCCAGCCUGUGAGCGACCACGCUGAAGAUUUUUCCCUCUACGUUUAGAAGGCUGAUCUGUCGGAACUGCCCGAUCUCUGACGAGUCCUUUUCCUUGGGGAUAAGGAUCCCUCCGGCUCUCCGCCAAGAUAUGUGACCAAGUUUUUUAAGCGAAUUAUCUGGACUCUAUACAGAAGAAACCCAGAGGGUUACGCUUCAAGGGUGUGUGGACAGGAUGACACAAUCUACGGUGGCGAGGAUGAUCAGCUGGAAGCCUGGGAAGAAUCUAUGCCUACAGGAUUAUCUAUGCCUACGAAGAUGUUCUGCACCUUGUAGCCAGAAAUAUAAAGGAGCUGUUUGAAACUGGCUUGACCUUUCCUGGAUUAGAACGCUACAAAAUAGGACAAUGUUUCGAAGACUGCACAUAGGAAGAGUACAAUGAAAUCAUGGAAUCUAAGGAAAAGAAAGAAAUGAUAGAAUCUUUGGGUCCCCGACUCAUGGAAACGCUACGGAAAAUCAAGGCGGAGGAAGAAGAAAAGAAGGUGGAGGAAGAAGAAAAGAAGGAUUCAGACACAAUAAAACAGGGACUAGAGACUAAUUUACUAAACAAGAAUUUACAGAGUAUUCAAUAAAGAGAGCAUUCAAUACUCUUUCACUAUAGAAAGUACAUCGACUGAUAAGCUAAUAUGAGCUUUUAAUGGUCAAAAUAAAAAAUCAAUUACUGUAUAGUCAGUAAUGUAUUU